rnacentral:rRNA from 1 species
UACGAAGGGUGCUAGCGUUGUUCGGAAUCACUGGGCGUAAAGCGCACGUAGGCGGCUUGUUAAGUCAGAGGUGAAAGCCUGGAGCUCAACUCCAGAACUGCCUUUGAUACUGGCAAGCUCGAGUAUGGCAGAGGUUGGUGGAACUCCGAGUGUAGAGGUGAAAUUCGUAGAUAUUCGGAAGAACACCAGUGGCGAAGGCGGCCAACUGGGCCAUUACUGACGCUGAGGUGCGAAAGCGUGGGGAGCAAACAGG